GUUCUCUCCAUGUCUAUCUGCUGACAAAGCACACUUUCACCCAAAAUGGCUGCUAAGUUUUCUUGUUAAAGUUAAAAUGCCUGUCCCUGAGACUUCAUUUGGACGCUUAGACACAAAGGCCACUCAAAGAAGGCCACCAAAGGAGGGAGGUGUGCGAGGCCUCCUGGGCCAUGUGGGCCUGUCGCCGGGCUCUUCGAGGUGCAACAGAGCCUAUGAGUUUUGGAGAUAUAUGAAAGCCAUCAUGAUAAAUGUCUUCCAAACACUUGUCAUUGAGGACAGAUGCUAAAAACCACUGCAUGUAACAAGCGUAUGCGUGGCUGAAGAUAAACCUUCAAGGUCUUAACUGUGCUCUUAAAAAUUCGUAAUUGCCUCAAGUGUGGCAUGCAACAUUUUGGAAGGAAAAAUGAA
rnacentral:lncRNA from 1 species